rnacentral:snRNA from 2 species
UCCGCUCGGACCAGCCGGUAUUGGGCCGCCAAGUGUAAUAUCUGUUCUUAUCAGUUUAAUAUUAUUAUUUAUUAGUUUAAUAUUAUUAUUUGAUAUAUGCUAUAUGGUCGCUUGCUGCCUGGGCUCUCAAGCGUCGCCCUGGCGUUGCACUAUAGUUUGGGCCUGGCGCAGCCUAA